CCCGCUGAACUUAAGCAUAUCAAUAAGCGGAGGAAAAGAAACCAACAGGGAUUGCCCCAGUAACGGCGAGUGAAGCGGCAACAGCUCAAAUUUGAAAUCUGGCCCCUCGGGGUCCGAGUUGUAAUUUGUAGAGGAUGCUUUUGGUGAGGUGCCGCCCGAGUUCCCUGGAACGGGACGCCACAGAGGGUGAGAGCCCCGUCUGGCUGGCCACCGAGCCUCUGUAAAGCUCCUUCGACGAGUCGAGUAGUUUGGGAAUGCUGCUCAAAAUGGGAGGUAUAUGUCUUCUAAAGCUAAAUAUUGGCCAGAGACCGAUAGCGCACAAGUAGAGUGAUCGAAAGAUGAAAAGCACCUUGAAAAGAGGGUUAAAUAGUACGUGAAAUUGUUGAAAGGGAAGCGCUUGUGACCAGACUUGGGCGCGGCGGAUCAUCCGGGGUUCUCUCCGGUGCACUUCGCCGCGUCUAGGCCAGCAUCAGUUCGUCGCGGGGGAAAAAGGCUUCGGGAACGUGGCUCCUCCGGGAGUGUUAUAGCCCGUUGCAUAAUACCCUGCGGUGGACUGAGGACCGCGCGUCUGCAAGGAUGCUGGCGUAAUGGUCACCAGCGACCCGUCUUGAAACACGG
rnacentral:rRNA from 1 species